CCCCACAUGUGUCAGUAUUACUAGUAGGUGCCUGUGUCCCCCCACAUGUGUCAGUAUCACUAGUAGGUGUCUGUGUCCCCCACAUGUGUCAGUAUCACUAGUAGGUGCCUGUGUCCCCCACAUGUGUCAGUAUUACUAGUAGGUGUCUGUGUCCCCCACAUGUGUCAGUAUCACUAGUAGGUGUCUGUGUCCCCCACAUGUGUCAGUAUUACUAGUAGGUGCCUGUGUCCCCCACAUGUGUCAGUAUUACUAGUAGGUGUCUGUGUCCCCCACAUGUGUCAGUAUCACUAGUAGGUGUCUGUGUCCCCCACAUGUGUCAGUAUUACUAGUAGGUGUCUGUGUCCCCCACAUGUGUCAGUAUCACUAGUAGGUGCCUGUGUCCCCCACAUGUGUCAGUAUCACUAGUAGGUGUCUGUGUCCCCCACAUGUGUCAGUAUUACUAGUAGGUGCCUGUGUCCCCCACAUGUGUCAGUAUUACUAGUAGGUGCCUGUGUCCCCCACAUGUGUCAGUAUCACUAGUAGGUGCCUGUGUCCCCCACAUGUGUCAGUAUUAC